rnacentral:rRNA from 1 species
ACUCUAAUGAGACUGCCGGUGGACAAACCGGAGGAAGGUGGGGAUGACGUCAAGUCCUCAUGGCCCUUAUGGGUAGGGCUUCACACGUCAUACAAUGGUCGGUACAGAGGGUUGCCAACCCGCGAGGGGGAGCUAAUCCCACAAAGCCGAUCGUAGUCCGGAUCGCAGUCUGCAACUCGACUGCGUGAAGUCGGAAUCGCUAGUAAUCGUGGAUCAGCAUGUCACGGUGAAUACGUUCCCGGGUCUU